UAUGAAGAUACCGGAGGCUAUAACCGGAGAACGGAGCGGCGCCCGGGCAUAACACAUUGGAGAAGGCUUUGUCCCUUUUCACAACCACUUCCUGAAAGGAAUCCUGGACACAGGAGAGACCACCAAGUAAUGCCACACUUACAGAGAGCAGAGCAACCUGGUGGCGUAGUGUAAGCCCUGGAAACCAUGGUGGGCUAACUGGGUGGAAGCUCACAGGACCAAAUGGGGGAAUUAUCUGUUAGUACCCACCGUCCAGGGUCCUCCAGCGCUGCUCAUGUCACAGUAAACAGGUACCGGAGGAGCGUUCGCACCACCAGGAUAUAUCAGGUACACACCGUCCGAGGUCAG